AAACUAAUUAGCCCUAGGAUUUAUACAGUGUAACGAGCCAAGGCAUAUUGGAAGCAAAAGGCAGAGAAAAAUCACCUCAGGUGAUCCAACACUUCAUGCGGCAGCUUGGGUGUGAAUCCUACGUUGCAUCAGAGAGACGGCAGCAUUUAUCUCCCGCAGGGUGAUCACUUUUCGUCGGUUUCUUCUUGAGAGUCUUGAGGCCUCCAAGCUCACCAGUCUGAGCAGAACUGGUCUGGGAAAACUGUUGCCACAGACCAGGAAGUCUAGACCACCCCUCCCAAACGGACUGACCUAAAUAUCAAUAGGAGUGUGGAGCGAGCAUGAUACCUCUUCUUCUUCCAUGCUGCUGGAACAGGAGCCUUCAUUGUUCUGGGUCAGUCGUAGCCACAGUAGAACUGGAGAUGUUUCCUGAUGCAGAGAGCUUCAGUGAAAGUGCAAGUAUGUCAGACAGAGACUGUGGAAAAAAGGUGUUUUAAUGAGCCUAAACUGAAAACAGCUUUUCCUAAUGAGGCUUAAUUACA